GACGAACGCUGGCGGCGUGCCUAAUACAUGCCAGUUGAGCGCUGAAGGUUGGUACUUGUACCAACUGGAUGAGCAGCGAACGGGUGAGUAACGCGUGGGGAAUCUGCCUUUGAGCGGGGGACAACAUUUGGAAACGAAUGCUAAUACCGCAUAAAAACUUUAAACACAAGUUUUAAGUUUGAAAGAUGCAAUUGCAUCACUCAAAGAUGAUCCCGCGUUGUAUUAGCUAGUUGGUGAGGUAAAGGCUCACCAAGGCGAUGAUACAUAGCCGACCUGAGAGGGUGGUCGGCCAAAUUGGGACUGAGACACGGCCCAAACUCCUAAGGGAGGCAGCAGUAGGGGAUCUUCGGCAAUGGACGAAAGUCUGACCGAGCAACGCCGCGGGAGUGAAGAAGGGUUUCGGAUCGGAAAACUCUGUUGGUAGAGAAGAAAGUUGGUGAGAGUGGAAAGCUCAUCAAGUGACGGUAACUACCCAGAAAGGGACGGCUAACUACGUG
rnacentral:rRNA from 1 species